rnacentral:tRNA from 1 species
UGGGAAGUACGCAAAUAGGUAAAGCGACUUGCCUUUGAAGCAAGCGGUUGAAGGUUCGAUUCCUUCCUUCCCAG